rnacentral:rRNA from 1 species
UUGCCAGACUCCUACGGGAGGCAGCAGUGGGGAAUAUUGCACAGUGGGGGAAACCCUGAUGCAGCGACGCCGCGUGAGCGAUGAAGUAUUUCGGUAUGUAAAGCUCUAUCAGCAGGGAAGAAGAUGACGGUACCUGACUAAGAAGCCCCGGCUAACUACGUGCCAGCAGCCGCGGUAAUACGUAGGGGGCAAGCGUUAUCCGGAUUUACUGGGUGUAAAGGGAGCGUAGACGGCGAUGCAAGCCAGAUGUGAAAGCCCGGGGCUCAACCCCGGGACUGCAUUUGGAACUGUGUGGCUGGAGUGUCGGAGAGGCAGGCGGAAUUCCUAGUGUAGCGGUGAAAUGCGUAGAUAUUAGGAGGAACACCAGUGGCGAAGGCGGCCUGCUGGACAGUAACUGACGUUGAGGCUCGAAAGCGUGGGGAGCAAACAGGAUUAGAUACCCGCGUA